UACGUAGGGUGCGAGCGUUAAUCGGAAUUACUGGGCGUAAAGCGUGCGCAGGCGGUGAUGUAAGACAGAUGUGAAAUCCCCCGGGCUCAACCUGGGACCUGCAUUUGUGACUGCAUCGCUAGAGUACGGUAGAGGGGGAUGGAAUUCCGCGUGUAGCAGUGAAAUGCGUAGAUAUGCGGAGGAACACCGAUGGCGAAGGCAAUCCCCUGGACCUGUACUGACGCUCAUGCACGAAAGCGUGGGGAGCAAACAGG
rnacentral:rRNA from 1 species